ACGUUUGUAAAGGAUGGGUGUUUUGUUGAAAAUUGCAUUUAUCAUGUUUGCUUUGUUCAUGCUCUCUUCUAUUUUGGACGCAGCUCCGAAGGAAUUUGGAGAAAAACAAAAACCGGUAUUAACAACGGGACAAACUAAAAUUCUUGAGAAAAUGUUCAUGAUGUAUGGUAGAAGUUUUGACUUUGAGAGAAAGCAUGGUAUCAAAGGACGAAACUAUCUGUGUGUCUUGGCAAAAACAUGUGAUUCCCAGAGAAAAAGAGAUGAUACAACUUCUAAAAAAAAUAAAUGAACAGUGUGACAAAGCUUCUGUAUUACUUACCAAUUACAUAUCAAAAAACUGUUUUCAAAUUAAGCAUCAUUUGAAUGUGAUUAAAAUAAAUUAAUAUAACUAAAAGUAGUUUUGUCAAAGUAAAUUUCAAUUGAAGCUUCUCAGGUUUGUAAGUAAUUAUGUUUAAAGCUCACAAAAGCUGAAAUUAAAUAUGAAGAGAUUUCCUUUUUUCAUAAGCCAUGGGAAGAUUUCUGUGUUCUUCAAUUGAAAAAAU